rnacentral:rRNA from 1 species
AACGAACGCUGGCGGCAGGCCUAACACAUGCAAGUCGAGCGGACCCUUCGGGGUUAGCGGCGGACGGGUGAGUAACGCGUGGGAAUAUGCCCUUCUCUACGGAAUAGUCCUGGGAAACUGGGGGUAAUACCGUAUACGCCCUUUGGGGGAAAGAUUUAUCGGGGAAGGAUUAGCCCGCGUUGGAUUAGGUAGUUGGUGGGGUAAUGGCCUACCAAGCCGACGAUCCAUAGCUGGUUUGAGAGGAUGAUCAGCCACACUGGGACUGAGACACGGCCCAGAAUCCUACGGGAGGCAGCAGUGGGGAAUCUUAGACAAUGGGGGCAACCCUGAUCUAGCCAUGCCGCGUGAGUGAUGAAGGCCUUAGGGUUGUAAAGCUCUUUCAGCUGGGAAGAUAAUGACGGUACCAGCAGAAGAAGCCCCGGCUAACUCCGUG